GGUGGCUCAGUGGUAGAGCACUUGCCUUGCAUGCAUGAGACCCUGGGUUCGAUUCUUGAGCACCA
rnacentral:tRNA from 1 species